rnacentral:rRNA from 1 species
AGUGAACGCUGGCGGUAGGCCUAACACAUGCAAGUCGAACGGCAGCACAGUAAGAGCUUGCUCUUACGGGUGGCGAGUGGCGGACGGGUGAGGAAUACAUCGGAAUCUACUUUUUCGUGGGGGAUAACGUAGGGAAACUUACGCUAAUACCGCAUACGACCUACGGGUGAAAGCAGGGGAUCUUCGGACCUUGCGCGAUUGAAUGAGCCGAUGUCGGAUUGGCUAGUUGGCGGGGUAAAGGCCCACCAAGGCGACGAUCCGUAGCUGGUCUGAGAGGAUGAUCAGCCGCACUGGAACUGAGACACGGUCCAGACUCCUACGGGAGGCAGCAGUGGGGAAUAUUGGACAAUGGGCGCAAGCCUGAUCCAGCCAUACCGCGUGGGUGAAGAAGGCCUUCGGGUUGUAAAGCCCUUUUGUUGGGAAAGAAAAGCAGCAGGUUAAUACCCCGCUGUUCUGACGGUACCCAAAGAAUAAGCACCGGCUAACUUCGUG